UGCUGGGGAGAGGGAGUCCUGCUCCUGGAGCUCAGCGCAGAGAGAAUUUGGAGGAACAAGGACAUUGACAGCAGAGGGAAAUGGAGCGUCUCUUCCCAGAGAAAGAUGGUAGUAGCAGUGCUGAGCAGGUGCUCCUUCCCUCCGCCUCCGGCCUCCACAUCGCUCAACGGCGAGCACGAUACAGAUAUACAAGGCAAACUAAAGGUUUCGACUGCUAUUCAGUGCCUCCUCAUUUGUCCCGGAGCCGUAACAGUGGUGCCCUUUCUCUUCUGGCUGCUUUUCCCUGCUUCUGGAGCAGCAGUUAUGGGAGAAGCAGAUGGCUACUGAUUGGGCUUUAGCAAACCUCUGCAAACUUCAGGGACCGUCACUCACUGGAGCAGCGGAGGCCUUCACAGCCCCGCAGGCUGCGCGGGGAAGGAAAAGACCAUCCCCAGAUGCGGAUCGCCCGCCUGAUGGGAACAUGCUGGGCAGUCAGCUCCUGCCAAGGAGCUCGCCCACGUGUAACCCAGAAAGCGGCCACCCAGGGUCCCGGUGGGGAGUUCCGAGUGACAUCCUUGAUAAACUCGACAACACCAAGGCCAUGCGGCCACCGGAGAGACGCCCAGGUCGGGCUGCC